UGGGGAAUAUUGCACAAUGGGCGCAAGCCUGAUGCAGCCAUGCCGCGUGUAUGAAGAAGGCCUUCGGGUUGUAAAGUACUUUCAGCGGGGAGGAAGGGAGUAAAGUUAAUACCUUUGCUCAUUGACGUUACCCGCAGAAGAAGCACCGGCUAACUCCGUGCCAGCAGCCGCGGUAAUACGGAGGGUGCAAGCGUUAAUCGGAAUUACUGGGCGUAAAGCGCACGCAGGCGGUUUGUUAAGUCAGAUGUGAAAUCCCCGGGCUCAACCUAGGAACUGCAUCUGAUACUGGCAAGCUUGAGUCUCGUAGAGGGGGGUAGAAUUCCAGGUGUAGCGGUGAAAUGCGUAGAGAUCUGGAGGAAUACCGGUGGCGAAGGCGGCCCCCUGGACGAGGACUGACGCUCAGGUGCGAAAGCGUGGGGAGCAAACAGG
rnacentral:rRNA from 1 species